AACCAUUCACUAGUUCUGAUAAUUAUGUGUUAUAUGCAAAUUAUCGAAACAAUAAAGUAUUCAUACUCACUUUUCUGUUUUCACAUGCAAAGGGCAGUGAGUAUCACUCCAUCAAUAGCACAUCAACUGAUUCAGAUUCUGAGAUCAGAGAACAUUGAAUUUGUAGUAUCUCCAUGUGAAGCUGAUGCACAAUUAGCAUACCUAUCCAGCCUAGAAGCAGAAAAAGGUGGAAUUGUAGCAGUGACUUCAAAGGACAGUGAUCUACUGGCAUAUGGCUGUCCAACUGUUGUCUUCAAGAUGGACCGCUAUGGCAAUGGUGAAGAGAUAGUGCAAAACAAGGUUUUUUAGUCUGCAUCUCGUGUGCCUUCCUUCCAAUGUUUUGAUAAAGAACUUUUCAUAGGCAUGUGCGCUUAGCUGGCUGCGCUUUUCUUCCAUCUGUUCCUGGAAUUGGAAUUACGAAAGCUUAUUCUUUGGUUUCCAAGUACCGGAACUUGGAUCGUUGUGCACUCUUUUGGAAUAAUUGCUUUGAAAAAACCUGGAACCUAGAUAGUUCUUUCAUAACCAAGUGAGACUUCUCUUCAAUUUUGCCAUUUGGUGAGUUGAAAUCUUCAGAUUCAGUGCUCUCUAGACUGAAGUGUUAGU